AACGAACGCUGGCGGCAUGCCUAACACAUGCAAGUCGAACGAGACCUUCGGGUCUAGUGGCGCACGGGUGCGUACCGCGUGGGAACCUGCCCUUAGGUUCGGAAUAACUCACCGAAAGGGAUGCUAAUACAGGAUAAUGUAUUCGGACCAAAGAUUUAUCGCCUUUGGAUGGGCCCGCGUUGGAUUGGCUAGUUGGUAGGGUAAAAGCCUGCCAAGGCGACGAUCCAUAGCUGGUCUGAGAAGAUGAUCAACCACAAUGGGACUGCGGCACAGCCCAGUCUGCGACGGGGAGGAGGAGUGGGGAAUACUGGGCGAUGGAGGAAGACCUGGUCCAGCAGUGCCGGGGGAGUGGAGAAGGGCUUUGGGUUGUGAAUCUCUUUUUCCCGGGGUGAUAAUGACAGUACCGGGUAGAGAAGCACCGGCUAACUCCGUG
rnacentral:rRNA from 1 species